UUUUAAAUUGAGAGUUUGAUCCUGGCUCAGGACGAACGCUGGCGGCGUGCCUAACACAUGCAAGUCGAGCGAUGAAACUUCCUUCGGGAAGUGGAUUAGCGGCGGACGGGUGAGUAACACGUGGGUAACCUGCCUCAAAGAGGGGGAUAGCCUCCCGAAAGGGAGAUUAAUACCGCAUAACAUUAUUUUAUGGCAUCAUAGAAUAAUCAAAGGAGCAAUCCGCUUUGAGAUGGACCCGCGGCGCAUUAGCUAGUUGGUGAGGUAAGGGCUC
rnacentral:rRNA from 1 species